GCCGUGCCCUCUCCUGCCCGUGAUUGGAGGUCCGCGUCCCGCUGUUUGAGGGAGAAACAGUCUUCCGCCGAGCUGCCGGACCCCGCGGCGAGGGGAGCGGAGGAGAAGUAAUUAGUGGUGAAGGACCUUACCCACCUGAACAUCUUUUAAAGGCUUACACAUGGCUAUAUAAAGAGACCAUCAGACCACAGCCAAGGGUGUUGGUCUCCACUAUACAACCACAGUGAGAGAUAAAGUGGAUCUGCAGACACAUUUUGUAUGCCUAAGGUAAGUCUUUCUCAAAUAUGUAAAACUGUUCAUAUUGUUUCAGACCACAUUGUUGCCACUUCUCCAUUUUUUUCAGAGCUGUUGAGACAUUUGUCUCCAUUCAGCACGAAUGUGGUAGAACACUAAAUCAGACUCUGGCCCUCUCUUACUGCAAAUACGUAUGUUCUGAAAAGCAUGUUGUAAGACAGGGAAAAUGCAAAGGGUGUAUCAUUCUGUGUACAUUAUUGAUAUGUAUCACUAUAUGAGGAGGCUAGAGGUUGGUAUCAGAUGUCUUCCUCUGUGUCUACUUUUUAUGUAAAAUCACAUUUAUUUAUUUUAUUCCUGGGCUCACACGUAUAGGCAAGUACAUGGUACAGCGUGCCUUUGGAAGACAGAAGAUAACUUGUGCAUGUCAGUUCUCUUUCCACAAGGUGGGUUCCAGGACCUGAACUCAGGCCAUUUCAUUCAUCAGGUGUGGUGACAAGUGCCUUAUCUACAGGUACAGGUACAGAUACAGCCCCUCUUAGUUUUAAAUUUUAGUGUGCAUGUGUGUGUGUUGUGUUCAUGAUGGGGGGAGCAUGUGGCAUUUCACCGUGGAGGUCAGAAGACAACUUUGUGGAGUCGGUUAUCUCCUGCCUUGAUGUGGGAGCUGAGUAUCAAACUCAGGUCAUCAGCCUUAUGCAGCAAGCAGUUUUACCUGCUGAGCCAUCUCCAGAGACAAGAAUGGGUUAUUCUUAUGCAUUUUGACUCCAUUUAUUACAGUUGCUUGUGGGGUAUUUUGGUUACAGGUGCUUUGUUUUAUAAAUGGUUUUAAUGUAGCAUUUGAAAAAAUAUGGAACAAAGAUCUAAUCUGGCCAGAUUAUAGUAAGUUUUUGAACUAAAUUUGAGGUUUUAAAUAAGGACUAAAAUUAUAUGCCUAGAGUGAAAAUUUUAAUUACUAAGGGAGCUUAAAUUUGAAAAAGGACUAGUGUAGAAAAGGGGAGGCUUUCUGCUUGUAUCCUGAAAGUCUCAAUCAGAUUAGAGCAGGUUAGAGCGUUGUCUCACCUGAUGUACUGAACACAUCUUUAGACUGGGAUCAUUUUCCUUAUCUUCUUAUACACAGGAUUUAUGGUAAACCCCGUGUAUUUACUAUAUUUUAUAGCAUGAGGCAUAGAUUGAGUGUAGUGAAUAAAAUAAUGGAAAUUUAAAAAUACAAUUUUAGUUCUCCUUUAAUAUCCAAUCUUUUAUUAAGAAGGAUAAAGAUGAAAUAUCUAGGAAAUCUCUCCAACUUCUACUCCAGACAGUGAAUGUUAAUGAACUUCCUCAUUUUCUGGUCAACUUCCCUUUAUUCUUAAUAUAAAUAAAUCCCCUACGAUCCACUUCGCUCCCCACCUUUUUUAUUUUCCCCUCCCCUUUUUCUUUUCUUUUUGUUCAUUAGGGCUGGCUUUGAACUGGCAGGAACUCCUGACCUCAGCUUUCUGACUGCUGGGAUGAUUUCAACAACAUAAACAAAUUCCUUAGUGUUUUAUUUUUUCCUAACAUCUCAAACAUUCUUUUUCUUGUCUUUGGGAAACUUGCAGGAAAUGUUUGUCUGACAUCAUACUUUAGCCUAUUGGUUUAAAAAAAAGUAGUUGAAAUUAUGCCAAUAUUAGUGCUAAUUUUAACCAUGCUUUGUCUACUUUUGGACAUAAGUACCUCUAGAGAAAUUGAAGUAAGAAGAAAAUCCUGUUCCUGCCCUAUUUUGAAGAAGCAGAUACUGCAGAAAGGAAUACAAAGCAUGGUCUGGUUUUGCCUUUAGAAGAUGAGGCCUCAGCUGUGCCUGGGAAACUGAAAACAAACCUGACCACAUGUUUGGCUUCAUUACAAUAAGGAACAAAUUCACUGAAGCACAACAAAAGGAAACUUUCAGGAGCCAAAAGAUUUCCUAAAGAAUUGAGGCACAGGGAAGAGGUUAAUAAACAGAAGCAAAAAAAAGGGAAGUUUAAAAUUAGGAACUAGAGUUCUUUUUAAAAGUUACAAAUAUAAAUUAUCAAAGAAUUAUUACUAAACCCCACGUACAUGUCUUUGACAAGUUAAUUGCAAUCACAGGCCAGAGUACAAAAAAUAAUUAUUAACCUGAAUGGUAGCAAGGGUACAUGUUCUUCUAACAAUUAACCUCUACCCCUAGCCAAGUUCUACCAAGUCCAUAAUGCAGGCUAUACUUCAGGUUAAGGGGCUAGGCUAUUAUUUACUAGGUCAAACAAUAAUUAAACACUCUUAGAUGCACAGAAGCAUUGUAGAUCUUUACCCCUACCUCAUUGAGAGGGUAGGAGGAAGUAGCUGGAGACCUGAGGCCAGUGCAGCAGUCCCAGCAACAGAUGGCAAUCAGAGGGGACUUGCAGGCUACUGCAAAGGAUCCAAUACUGGAAGCACUAAAGAUUUUUGUGCUGAGAAGACUUGUUGGGAGGAUUCAGCAGAUCAAUGGUUGCUAUAUCAAAAACAAACAAACAAACAGUAUAAAGGGGUAGGCAAAGGCAGAAGCAAGAAGGGUAAAGAAGCUACUGUUAUAGUCUAGGUAAGAGAUGAAUGAAUUUUCUGUUCAUGUGCUAACUGAGGCUGGUGAAAACACUGUGAUGCUGGGUUUAUUCGAAACUAUACCUGGCAAACUGGGGACAGAGUACUUUUGAGACAUUUUAAUAACUUGUGUUUCUGACAACAUGUUUUGAGUUGAGGCAUUUCUGGUGAAUAAGACCUUUCACGUUGAUCGUUUUACAGUUCACACUACCUGAUAUGGAACAUGCUAUAUUAUCACUACUAUGUAGAAACUGUUUAAUAAAUAUUAGGGAAGGAGGUGGCUUGGUGGGUAAAGUGCUUUCCACACCAGUGUGAAGAUCUGAGUUCAAAUUCCUCAAACCCACUUAAAAAGCGGGUGUGGUAGAACACAUCUAUAAUUCCAGCAUCUCUGUGGUGAGAAGGGAAGUAGAGAUGGGUGAGUCCUUGGAAGCUCAUGGACCUAUAACCCUGGACACUUUGUUUUCAACAAGGUGCAAGGUGAGGAUCCACACUAAGGUUGUCCUCUGGCCUCCGCAUGUACACCACAGCAUGCUUGAGCCACAAAUUUUGAUUGCCAGCUAUGCCCAAGUCAUGGUAGACUAGAGUUUACAAAGACAAUUAGUGUUAAAUAAGGUGAGGAUAGUGUCCUAAAUACAGACCUGGAGGCCUUACAAGAGGUACAAGCAGUCACACUGCCUGAAAUUUGUUUAAAAACAAGAACAACUUCAGAAAGGAACUUUGAUUUUGAACUUCCCAGGGCUCCAGAAGGGGAGUAUGAACUUCUUAAAGCCGCCCAGUCUGUAGGAUUUUGCUAUGGUCAUUCCAGCUAAUUUUGUUAGGAAAACGUCAUUUAAUCUACAGCAACACAGUCUUUAAUUGGCCACGUUAACACAAAAAAAUCCAAGAAUGUUUAAUCAUAAUUUCACAUUGAGGUCACAUUGUCUAGCCACAAAGUUCACAAACAGUAGUCACUGAUUUUACAUAUUUAGCUAUUCCUUAAGUUCCAUUCAGAGCCAUGAGGUCCUGGGCUCUGGGGAGCAAUGUGUGGUGAUAUGACAGUCAGCAGUCUCUCCAAAAAGGCCUUUCAUAUAGAACGCGACAUUAAGAAUAACAUGUUGUGUGUGUGCGCGUAUGACUCAAGAUGAGAAAAAAGGAAAUACAACAAUUAGCUUGUCUAUCAGUUAUUGAUAUGAUUUGAUUAUGUUGGAUUAAAUUGAGUUAAAAUUAA